UUCACGAGAGCAGUGAUUUCCAGGCUUUCUUAGCAAUGUGCCACUUCCCCUGACGUACUUACCAGACAGUGAAUUUUCCAUUUUUUACAAGAAGAAAAUUUUGGUGACAAAUUAUCCAAUAACAAAAGGACUUGUGUCUACUAAGAUCGUAACAUAUAAAAAAUCAUGGCCUCAGAAGAAAUUAAGCUUGCAAAGAAUGUCCACAGCGAGACUGCGGGUGCAGAAGCUUCAGUUCAUCAUGGUGAAAUCUCCAUUAAUCAUCAGUGGGAACCCAGUCACUAAGAGAGAGUAGAAAGAGAAGAAAUGACUCUCUGAGGAUACCCUGUCUCCCAGCCUCAGUCUGUUACUUCCCAUCGGCACAUGGGAGCAGAGAUCACUCUAUACAAGAUCUGUAAGUCGCCCCAGGAUAAAAGUCUUCUAGAAGCUUUCAAAUAUGCCCACAACUCACUUCACAUUUUUUAAGAAU
rnacentral:lncRNA from 1 species